rnacentral:rRNA from 1 species
GACAGAGGGUGCAAACGUUGUUCGGAUUUACUGGGCGUAAAGCGCGUGUAGGCGGCUUGGCAAGUCGGAUGUGAAAGCCCACGGCUCAACCGUGGAAGCGCAUCCGAAACGGCCUCGCUCGAGUCUCGGAGAGGAAGGUGGAAUGCUUGGUGUAGAGGUGAAAAUUCGUAGAUAUCAAGCAGAACACCUGCGGCGAAGGCGGCCUUCUGGACGAUGACUGACGCUGAGACGCGAAAGCGUGGGGAGCAAACAGG